rnacentral:lncRNA from 1 species
GGAAGCUAGCAAAAAGAUGAUUACCAAAUUUUCCACUAAAUCCAAAGAAUCAUAGGAUGAGACUAAGAAAUUGAAUUUUAACUAAAAUCAAAUGGAAUUCUAACAUCUAUAGAACUAAAGCUUACUAAGAAACACCAUAAAUUCGGUCCACUAAAUAUCAUAAUUAACAAAGGUGAGUACGAAGAAAUAACGAAAUAAAAGAUAACAAACGAUCAUUUACGAAGUCAAAAAAAUAUUCACAUCUAAAUAUGCUAGGCAUAAAAGUAAAAGGGCUAAAAAUCAAAACUAGCUACGUCUAACGUUCACUCGGUCUCAGCCCCGCCCGGCAAAUCGGUCUCG